AUUGAACGCUGGCGGCAGGCCUAAUACAUGCAAGUCGAGCGAGCGGCGGACGGGUGACUAAUGUCUGGGAAACUGCCUGAUGGAGGGGGAUAACUACUGGAAACGGUAGCUAAUACCGCAUACCUUCAGAUGUGCCCAUGUGGGAUUAGCUGGUGGUUGGGGUAAUGGCUCACCUAGGCGACGAUCCCUAGCUGGUCUGAGAGGAUGACAGGCAACACUGGAACGGGGACACGGUCCAGACUCCUACGGGAGGAAGCAGUGGGGAAUAUUGCGCAAUGGGCGCAAGCCUGAUGCAGCCAGGCGGCGUGUGUGAAGAAGGCCUUCGGGUUGUAAAGCACUUUCUGCGAGGAGGCGUUACUCGCAGAAGAAGCACCGGCUAACUCCGUGCCAGCCGCCGCGGUAAUAC
rnacentral:rRNA from 1 species